rnacentral:rRNA from 1 species
GUGCCAGCAGCCGCGGUAAUACGUAGGUGGCAAGCGUUAUCCGGAAAAAUUGGGCGUAAAGCGCGCGUAGGCGGUUUAAAAAGUCUGAUGUGAAAGCCCACGGCUCAACCGUGGAGGGUCAUUGGGAACUGGAGAACUUGAGUGCAGAAGAGGAAAGUGGAAUUCCAUGUGUAGCCGUGAAAUGCGCAGAGAUAUGGAGGAACACCUGUGGCGAAGGCGACUUUCUGGUCAGAAACUGACGCUGAUGUGCGAAAGCGUCCGGAUCAAACAGGAUUAGAAACCCGCGUAGUCC